UACGGGGGGAGCAAGCGUUGUUCGGAAUUACUGGGCGUAAAGGGCCAGUAGGCGGCCAACUAAGUCGGAUGUGAAAUCCCCAGGCUUAACCUGGGAACUGCAUCCGAUACUGGAUGGCUUGAAUUCGGGAGAGGGAUGCAGAAUUCCAGGUGUAGCGGUGAAAUGCGUAGAUAUCUGGAGGAACACCGGUGGCGAAGGCGGUUCUCUGGGCAUUACCUGACGCUGAGGAGCGAAAGUGUGGGGAGCGAACAGG
rnacentral:rRNA from 1 species